CAGCUUCAUGGCGGCAUGGGAAUGAGCGACGAACUCAACAUCGGUCACUACUUCAAACGCAUCCUGUCGAUCAACAUUCAGUUCGGCGACCCGACGUACCACCUGCUGCGCUACGCCGCGCAGCCUGACCACGGCAUCCCGAAGGUCCAGCAUGGCAGCCCUGCUGAGCGGUCGCGACGCUUCUUAUUGAAUGAUGAUUGUCA
rnacentral:misc_RNA from 1 species